rnacentral:lncRNA from 1 species
AUUGCUGGGCUUCUGGUGGUAGCCGGUUGCUCUAAGGAUGUGGGCAGACAAGGUUCUUUGAGUAGAUGUGAUCUUUUUAUCAGACCAAAUAAACAGGUGAGAAAAUUGUUCUUUGCAAGCUUUUGGGCCCAGUUGGUAUCCAAAGCGUCUGCUGUCCUGAGACUCCAAGGAAGAGAGAAGGGAAAAGCGUGGCAGGGAUCCAGGUUGUAGCUGUAUCGCUCUAGAGGAAAAGGCAAUCGGGACUGCUAGUAGAGAUGGUAUCUUUUAUUUGACCAACAAGAUUUUUACCAAAAAAAAAAAAGGGUGGCAGGAUUUCCUCUUUCCCCUCCCCACCCUUCCCUUACCGUUUGUUUCCCUAAUUUCUCCCUCUUUCCAUUCUCCCUCCAGACCCUUAGCGUCUCUCAGACCAGCAGACGCCUGGAGACGGGUGGCUGCGCCCGAAAGCUUGCCGAGAAGUUUUUCGCAGCUCAAGCGAUCCCGCCUCCGCCCGAAGGACCGCACCUGCGUACCUGGACCCAGGAGCAGCGCGGGGGGCCGGGGGCGGCCCGGUGCGUUUCCCGCGCCCGCCGGGUGAUCCCGCAGCUGGAGCGGGGCCGGCGCCGGGGCCGGCUCGGGCCAAUCGCGGAGCAGCCGUGUGUUGUGCCCGCUUUACAAAUGGUGGGAACCGGCUUCACAGGGAGGGGAGGAGGAUGCCUUUGCACGGCCCAGCAGCUCCUCCCCUUGCACACACACACACACACACGCGCGCGUGCUCCCCUCCUUCCCGCACUGCCAGGGCAGCAGCCACCUGCGCAUCCCAGGCGGGGGGGCGCCCAGCUGCCACCUGCGCGCGCCCGGGGGGGGGAUGCUUGCCCAGCGCUGCCCAAGUUCAAAGUUCACAGUUCACUUGCCCCCCUCCCAAAAAAAAGUGCAGUAGUUUUUGCAAUGCAAGAUGGCGACGAGGCAGUGAGAGGAGGAGGAGGCACAGACACAGCUGAGGGGGAGGCAGCGGCGCGGCGAGAUACCCAGGGCUGCGUGCUGCUGCUCCACUCUCCCCCGGAUCAGGAUGUACAGCACUGGAGAGCCAAAGCAUCGGCCAUAAAGCACAUACUUGGAAAGGGCUCUGGGCCUCUGCCCCAGUCAGAACACCUGCAAUAG